rnacentral:rRNA from 1 species
UACGUAGGGUGCAAGCGUUAAUCGGAAUUACUGGGCGUAAAGCGUGCGCAGGCGGUUUUGUAAGCCAGAUGUGAAAUCCCCGGGCUCAACCUGGGAAUUGCAUUUGUGACUGCACGGCUAGAGUGUGUCAGAGGGGGGUAGGAAUUCCACGUGUAGCAGUGAAAUGCGUAGAGAUGUGGAGGAAUACCGAUGGCGAAGGCAGCCCCCUGGGAUAACACUGACGCUCAUGCACGAAAGCGUGGGGAGCAAACAGG